rnacentral:tRNA from 1 species
AGAGCAGUAGUUUAAAAAAAACAUUUAUUUUGCAUAUAAAAAUUAUUUAAGGAUCUGCUUUU